CUGCUGCCUUCCGUAGGAGUCUGGGCCGUGUCUCAGUCCCAAUGUGGCCGGUCAACCUCUCAGUCCGGCUACUGAUCGUCGCCUUGGUGGGCCGUUACCCCGCCAACCAGCUAAUCAGACGCGAGUCCAUCUCAGAGCGAUAAAUCUUUGGCAGCCAGAGCCAUGCGGCCCAACUGCAUUAUGCGGUAUUAGCACAUCUUUCGAUGUGUUAUUCCCCACUCCAAGGCAGGUUACU
rnacentral:rRNA from 1 species